AUGGUGAUUGUUGUAAGUGUAUUCUGUGACUCAUUAGCCAGUGCAGCCUUUGCUUCUCAAAUGGCAGCAGGAAAAGUGUCUCGGAAAGGUAUUGAAACUACCAGGUUUUUCAGGAGUCAUGUGCCCCCUCUGGGAAAAUUGUAUUUGCAAUUCUCAACAUCAGUCACUGGAAGGGAUAGCUCACUUGCUGUCCACACCAACCUGCAUCAUCCAGGAAGUAUGAUUUCUCUAGGAGACAGGCAGGGGAGCUCUUCACACUUUGAUAUCAUGGAAGUUCAUCAUCACAGAGAAGCAUUUGAAUUUUAUCUUUUUUUCAAAACUGAACUGCUUUCCCACUACUUUCAACUUGAAACAAACUUUGGCCGGCUAGCUGUGCUGCUAUGGAAGUCUUUUGUAUCCAUCUCACUCAGUGGGAAACAGCAGGAUCAAACUUCUCUGCAAAAGGUAAAGAUUCGUCUAUGCAAGACUUCCUUGGAAGAAAGAGUGGUGAAAUUAACGAUGAUAAUACAUGAAGAGCACAUGAGAACAACAUAAAAUAG
rnacentral:lncRNA from 1 species